AAGGUCAUAACAAGGUUUCCGUAGGUGAACCUGCGGGAAGGGAUCAUUAAUAAAUGCUCUCUGGCUUCGGUCAAGGCUGAGGUUCAAGUGAGUGCCUUCUCUUCGGAGUUGGCCAUCCACACACACCGUGAACUGUGGCUUCGGCCAUCACAAACUGUUAGUAAUGAAUGUAAUAUCAUAACAAAAACAAAA
rnacentral:misc_RNA from 1 species